GCCGUUCGAGAAGAGGCGGAACUUUCAAAACCCCCGGGCGGAGAAAGGGCGUGGCGAGUGGUGCCUGGGCGCCGGCGUUGAACCGGCGGGAUGACUAGCAACCGAGCCUUUUUCGAGGUUCUUAGAGAUGAUUUUAACAGCACUGGCUUGACAGAUUUGUAACUGGGGAUCCCCUGGAAGAAUCGUCUGGAAAUUACGACCUUCAUCUGGCGAUUGCAGCUGUUAAAGUCUCCAAAGAAGCCAUUCUUACAUUGUGUUGUGAAAUUAUUACUCUAUCUCAAAUCUGUGCCAGAAAGAAAAUAAAAUGUGUGUUUAUGUGUA